ACCCCAAAUGCAUCUGUCCCAAAAUCGAAUGGAACAGAAGGGAUUUCUCCCUUCCUUCUUUGCUAGGGCGCAAAUGGAUCAGCCCCGCCGCUAAUCCAUCUCGAACGCGAAUAACAGUGGCUGGAGAAGACCUACAAGGAUCUGUCAACUUUCGACUGGAGGAGCCAACGUCGACCAAAUCGAUACCAAAACAGUACGUGGCGGUGUACGGAGGUGGUAUGGUUGUGUCGACGUGGAGGCGUGAUCGAUGGUAGUGCUGGAGGAUGCUGGAGGCUGUUGCGGCGCCAAACAAAUGGGGCUAGGGUUAGGGUUCCCAAGAACUUUCAAAGGAUUGGGCCUAUCGGGCUCUAUUAGUUGUUGGGCCAUUGAGUAUUGGGCUAGGAUUAAUUCGGUUUUUAGGUUUUAUAUUUGGGUUUGGGUUUGAAAUUGGGUUAUGUAAUUUGGACUUGUGGACAUUUAAUUUGGUUUAAUUUUUAUUUGUU